GGUAAAGGAAUCGAGAAUUUGAAUCAAACAAAGAACGAUAUCGAGAUUAAAUUGAAAAGAAACUUUGUUAGCUCUUGACAAAAAGGCAUUCGAUAAGGAAGCAUUAGCCGUCCAAAGUACAAUUAUAUCAAAAACCCAUUCAAACUAAAGAAGAUUACAUAUGUAUCUGAUUAUGAUACCUUAUAUUUCUUAUUAUUCAUAUAAAAGAAAAGAAAAAGAAAAAAAAACAGUUAUGAAGAAUAAGAAAGAAAUCUCAUCUUUAUUUCCCAAUAUCUUCAAUUAUGAUAGAUUUCUAAAUACAAUAAGGAUAAUAAUAACAAUAAUAACAACAACAAAAAUAUGAAGAAGAAGAAGAAGAAGAAGAAUGAAGUAUCUUGGUAUAUUCAAUUUUGCUUUCUUGUUCUUAUGUAGUAUAUGUAUCUAGUACAAUGUAAAUUUUAAUGUGGGAUUUCAAUUAAACGUGUCAUUUAAUGCGUAUUAUGAUUAAUAUGCAUUAUUCAUACACAUAUGAAUGUAUGUGUAUUUAAAUGAAUAUCGAAUUUAUACCUCGUUGAAAAAUUAUAUUUACAAUAUUGAAAUAAGGGUGUCACGAUCAGGUACACGCAUCACGUUCGAUCGUCGACGAUCUUUCUAUAUAUAAAAUAUAUCGAUACCAAACGAUAUUACAUUUGUUAAAAUGCAUAUACGUAUUACGUACAUACGCGUACACGUGCAUACAGAAAAAUUAAGAAUAAAAUAGCAAAAUACAGCGAGAAAGAGAGAGAGAGAGAUGAAAGUUCAUUGUUUUCGAGGAAGGACGUCUGUCCUAACGAACGAAGUUUUCGAUGAGGUCUCGUAUUUUUCUAUUCCUGUUGCUUUCUUUUAUUUUUUGAUUUUGAUUAAUUGACUAAUUAAAUUAUAAAAAUUUUAAUAUAUAUAUAUAUAUAUUACACUGAAAGAAAAAGAGAAUGUUUAUACCAUUUAUUAGCUGACGUAUACAAAGCAAAUCUUAUUACAAUGUUUAUUUGUUUCUAUAUAAGCUGAAAUAUCUAAAUACACUUUACGUUAUUUACUUUCUGUCGAAUAUCGUAUGAGAUCAGUCUUUCGGCAACCACCGAGCUGGAAAAUUGGAAAUAAACUCUAAUACAAUCUUUUAUUCGUUUGUCGUUAACGUUACGACUUUUGAUAAAAGAUUUCAAUACUUCGGUUAUUAGUUAAAAUGCCUUUCAACUGGCCGUAGAUAACAAAGCUCUUCACAACUGUAUCAACGUAAGAUGGAAUACCACUGAUUAAGAAAUUCACUGAUUAUAGUCGACUAUUGUCAUUUUUCGAUGCAAGAUGUGGGUCGUAUUUGCAUUGAUAGGCAGAUGAAUACGUAUAUGAUAAUGUUUUUUUAUAAACCCUGAGUUACUCAUUUCUGAUACAGAUUUAGAUAUAUACAGAUAUCUAUAUAUAUUAUAUAUUAUAUAUUAUAUAUAUAUAAAUAUAUAUACAGAGAGAGAAAGAGAGAGAGAGAGAAAGAAAAAGGGUAAAGGAAUCGAGAAUUUGAAUAAAACAAAGAACGAUAUCGAGAUUAAAUUGAAAAGAAACUUUGUUAGCUCUUGACAAAAAGGCAUUCCAUAAGGAAGCAUUAGCCCUCCAAAGUACAAUUAUAUCAAAGACCUAUUCAAAUGAAAGACGAUUACAUAGGUAUCCUAUUAUGAUACCUUAUACUUCUUAUUAUUCAUAUAAAAGAAAAGAAGAAAAAAAAAACAGUUAAGAAGAUUAAGAAGGAAAUUUCAUGUUUAUUUCCCAAUAUCUUCAAUUAUGAUUGAUUUAUAAAGACAAUAAGAAUAAUAAUAACAAUAAUAAUAACAACAGUAAUAUGAAAAAGAAGAAGAAGAACAAAGUAUCUUGGUAUAUUCAAUUUUGCUUUCUUGUUCUUAUGUGGUAUAUGUAGCUAGUACCAUGUAAAUUUUAAUGUGGGAUUUCAAUUAAACGUGUCAUUUAAUGCGUAUUAUGAUUAAUAUGCAUUAUUCAUACACAUAUGAAUGUAUGUGUAUUUAAAUGAAUAUCGAAUUUAUACCUCGUUGAAAAAUUAAAUUUACAAUAUUGAAAUAAGGGUGUCAUGAUCAGGUACACGCAUCACGUUCGAUCGUCGACGAUCUUUCUAUAUAUAAAAUAUAUCGAUACCAAACGAUAUUACAUUUGUUAAAAUGCAUAUGCGUAUUACGUACAUACGCGUACACGUGCAUACAGAAAAAUUAAGAAUAAAAUAGCAAAAUAUAGCGAGAAAGAGAGAGAGAGAGAUGAAAGUUCAUUGUUUUCGAGGAAGGACGUCUGUCCUAACGAACGAAGUUUUCGAUGAGGUCUCGUAUUUUUCUAUUCCUGUUGCUUUCUUUUAUUUUUUGAUUUUGAUUAAUUAACUAAUUAAAUUAUAAAAAUUUUAAUAUAUAUAUAUAUAUAUAUAUAUAUAUAAUAUUAUUACACUGAAAGAAAAAGAGAAUGUUUAUAGCAUUUACUAGCUGACGUAUACAAAGCAAAUCUUAUUACAAUGUUUAUAUGUUUCUAUAUAAGCUGAAAUAUCUAAAUACAACUUAUGUUAUUUACUUUCUGUCGAAUAUCGUAUGAGAUCAGUCUUUCGGCAACCACCGAGCUGGAAAAUUGGAAAUAAACUCUAAUACAAUCUUUUAUUCGUUUGUCGUUAACGUUACGACUUUUGAUAAAAGAUUUCAAUACUUCGGAUAAUAGUUAAAAUGCCUUUCAACUGGCCGUAGAUAACAAAGCUCUUAACAAAUGUAUCAACGUAAGAUGUAAUACCACUGACUAAGAAAUUCACUAAUCAUAGUCGACUAUUGUCAUUUUUCGAUGCAAGAUGUAAGUCGUACUUGCAUUGAUAGGCAGAUGAAUACGUAUAUGAUAAUGUUUUUUUAUUAACCCUGAGUUACUCAUUUCUUAUACAGAUUGAGAUAUAUACAGAUAUCUAUAUAUAUUAUAUAUUAUAUAUUAUAUAUAUAUAAAUAUAUAUACAGAGAGAGAAAGAGAGAGAGAGAGAAAGAAAAAGGGUAAAGGAAUCGAGAAUUUGAAUAAAACAAAGAACGAUAUCGAGAUUAAAUUGAAAAGAAACUUUGUUAGCUCUUGACAAAAAGGCAUUCGAUAAGGAAGCAUUAGCCGUCCAAAGUACAAUUAUAUCAAAAACCCAUUCAAACUAAAGAAGAUUACAUAUGUAUCUGAUUAUGAUACCUUAUAUUUCUUAUUAUUCAUAUAAAAGAAAAGAAAAAGAAAAAAAAACAGUUAUGAAGAAUAAGAAAGAAAUCUCAUCUUUAUUUCCCAAUAUCUUCAAUUAUGAUAGAUUUCUAAAUACAAUAAGGAUAAUAAUAACAAUAAUAACAACAACAAAAAUAUGAAGAAGAAGAAGAAGAAGAAGAAUAAAGUAUCUUGGUAUAUUCAAUUUUGCUUUCUUGUUCUUAUGUAGUAUAUGUAUCUAGUACAAUGUAAAUUUUAAUGUGGGAUUUCAAUUAAACGUGUCAUUUAAUGCGUAUUAUGAUUAAUAUGCAUUAUUCAUACACAUAUGAAUGUAUGUGUAUUUAAAUGAAUAUCGAAUUUAUACCUCGUUGAAAAAUUAAAUUUACAAUAUUGAAAUAAGGGUGUCAUGAUCAGGUACACGCAUCACGUUCGAUCGUCGACGAUCUUUCUAUAUAUAAAAUAUAUCGAUACCAAACGAUAUUACAUUUGUUAAAAUGCAUAUGCGUAUUACGUACAUACGCGUACACGUGCAUACAGAAAAAUUAAGAAUAAAAUAGCAAAAUACAGCGAGAAAGAGAGAGAGAGAGAUGAAAGUUCAUUGUUUUCGAGGAAGGACGUCUGUCCUAACGAACGAAGUUUUCGAUGAGGUCUCGUAUUUUUCUAUUCCUGUUGCUUUCUUUUAUUUUUUGAUUUUGAUUAAUUGACUAAUUAAAUUAUAAAAAUUUUAAUAUAUAUAUAUAUAUAUAUAUAUAUAUAUAUAAUAUUAUCACACUGAAAGAAAAAGAGAAUGUUUAUACCAUUUACUAGCUGACGUAUACAAAGCAAAUCUUAUUACAAUGUUUAUAUGUUUCUAUAUAAGCUGAAAUAUCUAAAUACAACUUAUGUUAUUUACUUUCUAUCGAAUAUCGUAUGAGAUCAGUCUUUCGGCAACCACCGAGGUGGAAUGUUGGAGGAUCCCAUAUAAACAUACAUUUGUAAAUAGAUACAUAUGUAUAUAUGUACAUAUGUACAUAACUAGAUACAUAAUAUACACACCCACACACACAUACACAAAGUAUAUAGUAGUCUUUCUCUUGGGUAUUGCUUGAGAUUUUCUUAUAUUGUAUGGACAGUAACGAACAACCUUUGUUCUGCAAUGAGCCAAAAUUAAAUAUCUGAUAUUGUUAUUGAUACAUUAUGAAGUAAAAAUGUUUAAAUUGAUUAAAAAGAAAUUAAUACUUUGUAGAAAAAGAAAAAAUUACACAUUAUUGAAGGGUAUUUGUUAUUUUCGGCAUCAAUUUACAAUGAAAUGUUUUCUAUAAUCCUAUUGAUUUUUUAUUAGCAAUACUUUUAAUGUGUACGCAUAAAUGUAUGUAUAUAUAUUUUUGUAAUGGAACGAAAUCUAUUAGUUGUUUAUUUUUAAUUAGAUAUAUGAUUCUACUUCUCGUUAAUAAACUUUACAUUAUUAUAUUGGAAGAUAGAAUGGAAGAUAUCGAAUUAAACUCUAACACAAUCUUUUAUUCGUUUGUCGUUAACGUUAAGACUUUUGAUAAAAGAUUUCAAUACUUCGGUUAUUAGUUAAAAUGCCUUUCAACUGGCCGUAGAUAACAAAGCUCUUCACAACUGUAUCAACGUAAGAUGGAAUACCACUGAUUAAGAAAUUCACUGAUUAUAGUCGACUAUUGUCAUUUUUCGAUGCAAGAUGUGGGUCGUAUUUGCAUUGAUAGGCAGAUGAAUACGUAUAUGAUAAUGUUUUUUUAUUAACCCUGAGUUACUCAUUUCUUAUACAUAUUGAGAUAUAUACAGAUAUCUAUAUAUAUUAUAUAUUAUAUAUUAUAUAUAUAUAAAUAUAUAUACAGAGAGAGAAAGAGAGAGAGAGAGAAAGAAAAAGGGUAAAGGAAUCGAGAAUUUGAAUAAAACAAAGAACGAUAACGAGAUUAAAUUGAAAAGAAACUUUGUUAGCUCUUGACAAAAAGGCAUUCGAUAAGGAAGCAUUAGCCGUCCAAAGUACAAUUAUAUCAAAAACCCAUUCAAACUAAAGAAGAUUACAUAUGUAUCUGAUUAUGAUACCUUAUAUUUCUUAUUAUUCAUAUAAAAGAAAAGAAAAAGAAAAAAAAACAGUUAAGAAAAAUAAGAAAGAAAUCUCAUCUUUAUUUCCCAAUAUCUUCAAUUAUGAUUGAUUUCUAAAAACAAUAAGGAUAAUAAUAACAAUAAUAACAACAACAAUAAUAUGAAGAAGAAGAAGAAGAAGAAUAAAGUAUCUUGGUAUAUUCAAUUUUGCUUUCUUGUUCUUAUGUAGUAUAUGUAUCUAGUACAAUGUAAAUUUUAAUGUGGGAUUUCAUUUGAACGUGUCAUUUAAUGCGUAUUAUGAUUAAUAUGUAUUAUUCAUACACACAUGAAUGUAUGUAUAUUUAAAUGAAUAUAGAAUUUAUACCUCUAUGACAAAUUAAAUUUACAAUAUUGAAAUAAGGGUGUCACGAUCAGGUACACGCAUCACGUUCGAUCGUCGACGAUCUUUCUAUAUAUAAAAUAUAUCGAUACCAAACGAUAUUACAUUUGUUAAAAGGCAUAUACGUAUUACGUACAUACGCGUACACGUGCAUACAGAAAAAUUAAGAAAAAAAUAGCAAAACAGAGCGAGGAAGAGAGAGAGAGAGAGAGAGAUGAAAGUACAUUGUUUUCUAACAAACGGAGUUUUCGAUGAGGUCUCGUAUUUUUCUAUUCCUGUUGCUUUCUUUUAUUUUUUGAUUUUGAUUAAUUAACUAAUUAAAUUAUAAAAAUUUUAAUAUAUAUAUAUAUAUAUAUAUAUAUAUAUAAUAUUAUUACACUGAAAGAAAAAGAGAAUGUUUAUACCAUUUACUAGCUGACAUAUACAAAGCAAAAAUUAUUACAAUGUUUAUAUGUUUCUAUAUAAGGUGAAAUAUCUAAAUACACCUUAUGUUAUUUACUUUCUGUCGAAUAUCGUAUGAGAUCAGUCUUUAGGCAACCACCAAGGUGGAAUGUUGGAAGAUCCCAUAUAAACAUACGUUUGUAAAUAGAUACAUAUGUACAUAACUAGAUACAUAAUAUACACACCCACGCACACAUACACAAAGUAUAUAGUAGUCUUUCCUUGGGUAUUGCUUGAGGUUUAUUAUAUUGUGUAGACAGUAAUGAGCAACCUUUCUUCUGCAAUGAGCCAAAAUUAAAUAUCUGAUAUUGUUAUUGAUACAUUAUGAACUAAAAAUGUUUAAAUUGAUUAAAAAGAAAUUAAUACUUGAUAGAAAAAGAAAAAAUUACACAUUAUUGAAGGGUAUUUGUUAUUUUCGGCAUCAAUUUACAAUGAAAUGUUUUCUAUAAUCCUAUUGAUUUUUUAUUAGCAAUACUUUUAAUGUGUACGCAUAAAUGUAUGUAUAUAUAUCUUUGUAAUGGAACGAAAUCUAUUAGUUGUUUAUUUUUAAUUAGAUAUAUGAUUCUACUUCUCGUUAAUAAACUUUACAUUAUUAUAUUGAAAGAUACAAUGGAAGAUAUCGAAUUAAACUCUAAUACAAUCUUUUAUUCGUUUGUCGUUAACGUUAAGACUUUUGAUAAAAGAUUUCAAUACUUCGGUUAAUAGUUAAAAUGCCUUUCAACUGGCCGUAGAUAACAAAACUCUUCACAAAUGUAUCAACGUAAGAUGUAAUACCACUGAUUAAGAAAUUCACUAAUUAUAGUCGACUAUUGUCAUUUUUCGAUGCAAGAUGUAAGUCGUAUUUGCAUUGAUACGCAGAUGAAUACGUAUAUGAUAAUGUUUUUUUAUAAACCCUGAGUUUAUUUCUGAUACAGAUUGAGAUAUAUACAGAUAUAUAUAUAUAUAUAUAUAUAUAUAUAUAUAUAUAUAUAUUAUAUAUAAUAUGUAUAUAUAUAUACAGAGAGAGAGAGAGAGAGAGAGAGAGAGAGAGAAAGAAAGGGUAAACGAAUCGAGAAUUUGAAUAAAACAAAGAACGAUGUCGAGAUUAAAUUGAAAAGAAACUUUGUUAGCUCUUGACAAAAAGGCAUUCGAUAAGGAAGCAUUAGGCGUCCAAAGUACAAUUAUAUCAAAAACCCAUUCAAAUUAAAGAAGAUUACAUAUGUAUCUGAUUAUGAUACCUUAUAUUUCUUAUUAUUCAUAUAAAAGAAAAGAAAAAGAAAAAAAAAACAGAUAAGAAGAAUAAGAAAGAAAUCUCAUCUUUAUUUCCCAAUAUCUUCAAUUAUGAUAGAUUUCUAAAUACAAUAAGGAUAAUAAUAACAAUAAUAACAACAACAAUAAUAUGCAGAAGAAGAAGAAGAAGAAGAAUAAAGUAUCUUGGUAUAUUCAAUUUUGCUUUCUUGUUCUUAUGUAGUAUAUGUAUCUAGUACAAUGUAAAUUUUAAUGUGGGAUUUCAUUUAAACGUGUCAUUUAAUGCGUAUUAUGAUUAAUAUGCAUUAUUCAUACACAUAUCAAGGUAUGUGUAUUUAAAUGAAUAUAGAAUUUUUAC